AGUGAACGCUGGCGGCAGGCCUAACACAUGCAAGUCGAACGGCAGCACAGUAAGCGCUUGCUCUUACGGGUGGCGAGUGGCGGACGGGUGAGGAAUACAUCGGAAUCUACUUUUUCGUGGGGGAUAACGUAGGGAAACUUACGCUAAUACCGCAUAUGACCUACGGGUGAAAGCAGGGGUUCUUCGGACCUUUUGUGUCUGAAUGAGCCGAUGUCGGAUUAGCUAGUUGGCGGGGUAAAGGCCCACCAAGGCGACGAUCCGUAGCUGGUCUGAGAGGAUGAUCGGCCACACUGGAACUGAGACACGGUCCAGACUCCUACGGGAGGCAGCAGUGGGGAAUAUUGGACAAUGGGCGCAAGCCUGAUGCAGCCAUACCGCGUGGGUGAAGAAGGACUUCGGGUUGUAAAGCCCUUUUGUUGGGAAAGAAAAGCAGCAGGUUAAUACCUCGCUGUUCUGACGGUACCUAAAGAAUAAGCACCGGCUAACUUCGUG
rnacentral:rRNA from 1 species